UUUAUAUCGGCCUACUCACAACUUCACUCAAUUCUUCUUAAGAAUUUUUUUAAGAAUUUUUUUUUCACUCAUUCGGUCUUCUCCACAUAGAGCCACCACUCACCAUUACAGCCUCCACCACCAGAAUCACCACCACCAUAUUUUUCAUAUUCUCCUGUACUUUACGUUUGGGUACAACAACUAUAGAUGUAAAUUAUUUUAGGUUUCACAGUAAAAUCAGCACCACCUUUUUCCUCUAAUCGCGGCGAUUGAUGUCUCAACAGUAAAAUCAACGAGACAAUAUGGAUUUAAGAUGCAUGAACAUGAUUUACAUCUUAAUGGUAAAUAAGGAAGGUCUAUUAUGUAUGUAUGAUGUCAGAUCUGUGAAAUUGAAGCUGCGAUUGGAAUCACGCAUUUACUUGCUUCGACCUUAGAUCUUGGCCAAAAAUUUUAUGCCAUAGUUUCUCUUUUGAUUUGUUUAACAGGGAGGAUGAAAAAGUCGACCCCUUGAUGGAGAUGGAAAGGAGUCACUGGAGGUAAACUCAAUUGGGGAAGAAGAAGGCGAGAAAGACUGAAAGAGAGAGGAUCAGGAGAAAUUAUGAUGAGAUAAUUUGUGUUUUUGUAACUGGAUAGUUUGAGUAAUCAUUAAUUUGUGUUUUUGUAAUUGCAUAUUAGGGAGGUGAAGAACAUUUCAGAUCUGGAAUUUUUUUCAAAUUUUAUAAAUUAGUCUAAUUUAGUUAGGAUUUCUUUUUAAA